GUCUGUGGUUAUAGCAUCAUGAGUGCACCUGAGCUCAUCUGAUCGCAGAAGUUCAGGUCAGAGAGCUGGGCCCGGUGAGUCUCUGGGGUGGAGACUGCAGGGAAGCCUAAGUGCUGUAGGCA
rnacentral:rRNA from 1 species